rnacentral:tRNA from 1 species
UCGUAGGUAGUUCAGUAGGUAAAAAAUCUGCCUGGAAUGCAGGAGACCUGGGUUCAAUUCCUGGGUUGGGAA